CUCAAAUAUCAAACUUUAAACAUAAAUCUAUCAAAAUUAUAUAACAAUUUCCAACACUCCUUCAAAAUCCCAAAUAUCAAUCUAUUUUACUUGUUUCGUUUUCAACCGAAAAACCUAGAAAUGCUAGAACAAAAAAGAGAUUCGGCAAAAAUUGAACAAACCCAAAUGGUAAACUUCAGUUUCGUAAAUUAGUUACCUUCAAUUGCUUCCUUUUUGCUGUAUAAUCAGAUUUUCUUCACAUUGUUGAAAGGAAGAAGACGAAGACGACAGUUUGUAUUCUUCUUUUUUUUUUUUGUUACUUUUUUGUUGUCUUUUCACGGUUCCCUUCCUUUUUUGUUUUUGGGUUAUAGUGAAUUUUUGGGCUUUAGUGUUUUUUGGGCUUUUAGUGUUUUUUUACUAAAACAGUUUGUUUUUCUAAAUAACAGGCCUAGGCCCAAUUAGUAACAGAUACAGUGUUUAACAUUACUGUAACUUUUUCAACGGUUGAUAUUCUCUUUUAAAAACGGUUCUAAAUCAUUUUAAAAACGGUUGUAAAUCUUUUCAAAGUGACUGACCCUAAUUCGGUGAAGAUGUCAGAAGCCAAUUCCUGUUUAAUUUGUUUUUAGGUUAUAGUGAAUUUUUGGGUUUUAGUGUUUUUUGGGCUUUUAGUGUUUUUUUACUAAAACAGUUUGUUUUUCUAAGUAACCGGCCUAGGCCCAAUUAGUAACAGAUACAGUGUUUAACAUUACUGUAACUUUUUCAACGGUUGAUAUUCUCUUUUAAAAACGGUUGUAAAUCAUUUUUAAAACGAUUGUAAAUCUUUUUAUAAUAGCAGCUACUGCAGCUUUUUCAACACUUUUAAAACGCUUUUAAAACAGCUUAUAAUUCAUUUAAAAACCCUGUUUAAAAGCAUGUUUAAAGUCCUUUUCCAUUCAAAUCAAAGCACCUGUUAACCCAAACAACCAUUAUACAGUAAUUUUGUAAAAUAGGAGUUAAACUAAAUAAACUUCAUAAAUCUUGUUCCAUAUAGAUGUUCAUAAAAUAUUCAAUUGA
rnacentral:sRNA from 1 species